UACGUAGGGGGCUAGCGUUGUCCGGAAUCAUUGGGCGUAAAGCGCGCGUAGGCGGCCAGAUAAGUCCGGUGUGAAAGUCAAAGGCUCAACCUUUGAAUGCCGCUGGAAACUGUCUGGCUUGAGUCCGGAAGGGGCGAGUGGAAUUCCUGGUGUAGCGGUGAAAUGCGCAGAUAUCAGGAGGAACACCAAUGGCGAAGGCAGCUCGCUGGAACGUAACUGACGCUGAGACGCGAAAGCGUGGGGAGCAAACAGG
rnacentral:rRNA from 1 species